GUGGGACAGGACUCCGAGGUCCUCCUGGGCUCGACGGUCCCGAGGGAGAGAAGGGAGAUCCAGGACCACGAGGCACAGAUGGACCUGCUGGUGCUGCAGGAUUAGAGGGACUCGCUGGAGAUGAUGGAGUGAAGGGAGAUGGUGGCAAACCCGGUCCAGUGGGCUCAGCAGGGGCUCAGGGGCUGGCAGGUGCCCCCGGGCUCCGGGGAUACACCGGGCACGAAGGAGCCAGAGGAGUGACGGGCACCAAGGGAAAGCCAGGC